AGUGGAACUGCUGGGUCAUAUAUGGUGACUCUUGAUUUACCUUUUUAGGGACCUGUCUGCUGUUUUCCAAAGUGACUGAACCAUUUUACAUUCCCAGUGACAAU
rnacentral:pre_miRNA from 1 species